CUACCGAUAUCGUGAGGUGUUGGGAGGGAACAACAGAAGUCAGCCGAGGCCGUAGUCGUGAUGUAAAACCGGCACCAUGAAGGGC
rfam:Serratia sp. ATCC 39006 ctg4, whole genome shotgun sequence.